rnacentral:misc_RNA from 1 species
UUGUGGAGGAGGACGCCGAAGGUGGGGCUAAUGACUGGGGUGAAGUCGUAACAAGGUAGCCGUACCGGAAGGUGCGGCUGGAUCACCUCCUAACAGGGAGACAACAAAAUGUUUAAUAUUAUUUUGUCACCUUAGGUCGAUCGGUAUCUCACGUUCUUAAUUAAUUAAGAAUUUCAAUUCCUAAGUUUUUCUAGGUCACACCCAUUAUUUUUCCUGGGCCAUUAGCUCAGGUGGUUAGAGCGCACCCCUGAUAAGGGUGAGGUCCCUGGUUCAAGUCCAGGAUGGCCCAUAUCUCUAUGUUGGGGGUAUAGCUCAGUUGGUAGAGCGCCUGCUUUGCAAGCAGGAUGUCAGCGGUUCGAGUCCGCUUACCUCCACUGAUUACCACCUCUUCCAUAAUCUGUAGAAAGGAAAUUUUUUGAGUUGUGAUCAACUUCUGGGCGAAUCUAGCUUCCUAAUGAAAUCAUUAAGAUGCUGGACUCAUUGAAUUAAUUUCAUUGUUUUCAGAGAACCUUGACAACUGCAUAGAUUAUUUUUUAAAGACAAUAAGCAUCUUUAAUGAUGCAGAUUUAUUAUUUGUGCGAAUGCAUUAAUAACAAUUCUAUUAAGCUGAUGCUUCAAUUUUGAAGUUAUUGGUCAAGCUACAA